UGAAAGGUGAGUUUGGUGAUGGCUCUGAUUGAACGCUGUCCAAAUGCUUGACACAUGCUAAUCGUACGUUUAAUUUAUGCUUUUCGGAUAUUAUCUAGGCACCCUGAAUUAUAAAUAGUAAUGGUGUAAUUUCUUUUGUCUAUCCUUCUAUAUCCCGAACUUCGUUCGGGAUCAGGGAGGCUGGCGGAGAUAUUGAAGGUGAAUUAAAAGUGGUGUACAGGUGAGUGAAAGAUAUUCGGCCGACCUUAAAGAGAGGGGAAAAAUCCCUCAUAAAAAUAAAAAAAAAGGGUGUAAUAACCGCUUUAAGAGGAAAGGUAUCUGCGGGAUAGGUAGUAGUUAAGGUAAUGGCUUAACUAGCCAACAAUUCUCGGAGUCGAAGCUGAAAUGGUUGAUCGACCACAUUGGGGAUGAAAAAAUCCCAAGGCAUAUAUGUACAGCAGUGAGGAAUCUUGGUCAAUGGCCUAACGGCUGAACUGGCAACUUGGAUGAAUGGACCGACUAUCCCCUUAAGAAAGAGGUAAGAGGUAGUGCAGGAGAUCCUUUUAAGGAGUAAAGUUCUAAAUAUAUGAUUGAUAAUGACAGUCUAUAUAUUAUGUCUUGACCAAUUACGUGCCAGCAGUCGCGGUAAUACGUAUGAGACUAGUGUUAUUCAUCUUAAAUAGGUUUAAAGGGUACCUAGACGGCAAAUGUCACCUUUAAAAGGUUAUUAUUUUGCUAGAGUUUUAUGUGAAGAGGCCGUACUUGUGAGUGGAGAGUUAAAAUUCUGUGAUACCUGGAGGACGGAUAAAGGCGAAGGCAGCCUCUUAUGUAGAAACUGACGUUGAAGGACGAAGGCAUUGCGGCACGAACAGGAUUAGGGACCCUAGUAGUCUUUGCAGACAAUGAUGAAUGCCAUAGGUUAGGUUAUUACUUAGUCUAUAAAUGAAAGUGUAAGCAUUUCACCUCAAGAGUAAUGCGGCAACGCAGGAACUGAAAUCACUAGACCGUUUCUGACACCAGUAGUGAAGUAUGUUGUUUAAUUCGAUGAUCCACGAAAAAUCUUACCACAAUUUGAAUAGAAUAAAAUAAUUAAAACGACUUCGUCGUAGUGAUGAUCAAUACUAUUGAUAUUACGUAUUACGUCGUGGUUUUAGUAUAUUUAUUCAUACAAGUGUUGCACGGCUGUUUCCAGUUAAUGUUGUGAAACUGUGGUAAAAGCCAUGGAAUUAACGUAAACCUGAGCUUUAUUUGUAAAUAUAUUAUGAUAGAGCUAAAUCGUCCUGUAUAUGGGAUUUGAUAACAGGGACUAAGACAAGUCAUCAUGGCCUUAAUAUUGUGGGCUAAAGACGUGCCACAUAUUCCUAAACAAAGAGAUGCGAAAAUGCGAAUUUUAGCUAAUCUCAAAAAAUAGGAUAAAAAAGAUAUGGAUUGUAGCCUGAAAUUCGGCUACAUGAAUAAGAAAUUGCUAGUAAUCGUGAAUCACUAUGUCACGGUGAAUAUAACCUUGGAUUGGUACUAACCACUCGUCACAUGCUGAAAGGAGUACGUGCAAUAAGUUUGCUCUCUUAUUUUAAUCCAGCGAAUAAUAGGAUUCGGGUUUUUUUAUAGGAUUCUUCGUAUGCGCGAUUCUAAUUGGUGUUAAGUCGAAAUACGGUUCAUGUAGUGGAAGUUGCAUGGGAUUGAUUAACAUU
rnacentral:rRNA from 1 species